rnacentral:rRNA from 1 species
UACGGGGGGGGUAAGCGUUGUUCGGAAUUACUGGGCGUAAAGGGCUCGUAGGCGGCCAACUAGGUCAGACGUGAAAUCCCUCAGCUUAACUGGGGAACUGCGUCUGAUACUGGAUGGCUUGGAUCCGGGAGAGGGAUGCGGAAUUCCAGGUGUAGCGGUGAAAUGCGUAGAUAUCUGGAGGAACACCGGUGGCGAAGGCGGCAUCCUGGACCGGUAUUGACGCUGAGGAGCGAAAGCCAGGGGAGCAAACGGG